AGCGAACGCUGGCGGCAGGCCUAACACAUGCAAGUCGAACGGAUCCUUCGGGAUUAGUGGCGGACGGGUGAGUAACACGUGGGAACGUGCCCUUUGGUUCGGAACAACUCAGGGAAACUUGAGCUAAUACCGGAUGUGCCCUUCGGGGGAAAGAUUUAUCGCCAUUGGAGCGGCCCGCGUCUGAUUAGCUAGUUGGUGAGGUAAAGGCUCACCAAGGCGACGAUCAGUAGCUGGUCUGAGAGGAUGAUCAGCCACAUUGGGACUGAGACACGGCCCAAACUCCUACGGGAGGCAGCAGUGGUGAAUCUAGCGCAAUGGGCGAAAGCCUGACGCAGCCAUGCCGCGUGAAUGAUGAAGGUCUUAGGAUUGUAAAAUUCUUUCACCGGGGACGAUAAUGACGGUACCCGGAGAAGAAGCCCCGGCUAACUUCUUGCCAGCCGCCGCAGUAACAC
rnacentral:rRNA from 1 species